rnacentral:lncRNA from 1 species
UUCCAACCCCUUUGCGGGGUCCAAGGGCUCCUGGAGGAGGAGAUGACUUCUGGGGCACAGCAAACCAAGAUGUGUGCUCCCCAGAGCUGACUUGGAAGCUGUCCGGCCCCUCUGCAUUCACCCCAGCUGCCCAUGUACACCAGGCAGCAGGAGGGACAGCCACUGCAGGCUGCCAGCCUGUCCUUUGCUGUCUGUGUCUGUGUCAAGAGUGAAUGAAGUGAUAAAACCAGGAGAGCAGUGUGCUGUGAAAAAGUUAAAGGCCUGGACAAGUCAUCGUUUGUCUCAGCUGGAUCAUCCAGGCUGGUCUCUGGGCAUGAAGGCCUAGUGAGGAUUCAGUGAGGCCAUGGGGCCAUGGGAGAAGAGGAGGGGUUGGUCCUGCAGCCCAAGACACCGCUCCAGGAGGACUCAGAACUGCUCAGUGGGUUCUUCCCUUACUACCGCUCUGAGGAGGAGAGUUUGCCCAGCCUGGCCCUUCCUGGCUGGUCACACAGGGGCUCCCAAGAUCUGCCCACUGAGAAGGAGGCACGGGCUGGCUGCUUCUGCAGGACAACAGUCAGGGACGAAUGCUCUGCUCUAACAGGCCCCUGGACAGGCCCCUCUCAGGGCUGCUGCGGCCCUUGGAGCAAGGUGUCACUGGUUGGGAGCACAGACACUGCAGGAAGACUGUCCUGUUCAAGCCCAGCUUGACCACCUGCUAGGAGAGCGGCCUGGGGAACGUGGUUUCCUUAUAAAAGAGAGAACAGCAGCAGCAACAAUAAAGCCAUUGUGAGAAUUACAUACAACCACGUACCUAAAGUGCUCAGCAGGAUGGUGAGCUCACAGAAACAUUUAUUUGGUCCUUAUGACUUAGGAUUUGUGCAUUACUACAGAACCCCUGAGGAGGGGUUACACACUAGCCCUGGGCCUCCUGCCUUUCCAUCUGGGAGCCAGGGGCCCUCAGGGGCUGCCCAGGGCUGGUGCAGUCACACCACGGGGAAGCCGGAGCUGACUGCAACAGAAACCACUGGAGAGCAGGCCCCCAGCACCCACUGACUGUCGAGGGAUGAAGGCUGACCCAAGCUCAGACAGAGGAAGCAGGAGCCACCUGAACAACUGAAGGGUGCAGACACCCAGAAGCUGGUUUUGUAAAUAAAUCGUGCACCUUGGCGCUGGUGCACUAAUUGGAU